CCACAAUCCAUUAAUGCACUCAUUUUUUAACAGAAAGUUUUACUCAGAAAUUCUAGUAGGUAUAGUUCUAUAAGCUAGGUCUGGUAAUAUAUAUUUCUUAUUGAUAUAAAUCAGCAUAGCUUCUCUGAAGGUAUAUCUGUGUUGAUUUAUGUUUUAAUGUCUACGCUGUGAUUUUUAAUUAUGCCUUUUAACUUUAGUUGCAGGAAUUGAAAAACAAAACAUCUUCUUGAAAACAUUAUGGUUGGAAUUAGUAAUGCAAAGGCACGGAAAAGUUUCAUCUCUAACCUCAUGUGUCAGUAGCAAAAUCUGGAAGGAAGUUUGAGGUUUUCGUGUCUCCAUUCUGUUUACUGCUGAUAAGAUUUUCUUAUGAAACAUCUGUAACUGAAGAAACUAAGGUGUCAAAUAUAGAAGGAAGUGAAAACCUGAAAAAGAUAAAUGUCAAAGUCGCGAAUUACUGGCAUAUUCAGUAGCAUGGUGAUCAGAAAUAGAUGAAGCAACUUCCAGGACAGCUGUUCUGCUAACAAGGGCAUUCCUUCCUCUGAGGUGCAUGACCAUUCUUUUGGUCCAAAAUAUCAUUCUGGAUCUGAAUUAAAAUUUGCCAAUGGGAAAUCACUCACAGCUGGACGGUUUCACAAAGAUAUUUGAUUUUUGACAAGGUAUUAUGUCUCCAAAAAUGACCGGACCAUUUCCUGAGCAGCUUUACCAACCUGGAUUAAAAAAGAACUGACCUGGAGCAUGGGCUUAUUUGCCCUCAGUGAUCUCUGAAUAUUGAUACUGGCAAAUUAAAUUGACAUUUAAUGAUCCAUCACAAGGUCUUUCAGUCUUCUGACAUUUAGGAUAUGUUGAUAGAAGAAAUUGUUAUUGAUUACUGCUUGGUCAAUUACAAGGCGGUAAAAUCCUGAUAACUUAGGGUUUUUGACUUGUGAUGAUCUCUGUGCUAGGCUGGUUGGCAUUUGGGAACAUGGCUAGUGGAAAAUGCCUGCAAUACAAUUGUGCAAGGUAGGUGCAUUUCUUGUAUGGUGACACAAGAAAUACAAGAGAUACAAGAAUACUAAUGCUUGUAUUUUUAUUUUAGGAUGGCAAAGGUUGUGUAAUA
rnacentral:lncRNA from 1 species